UCCAGACUCCUACGGGAGGCAGCAGUGAGGAAUAUUGGUCAAUGGCCGGAAGGCUGAACCAGCCAAGUCGCGUGAGGGAAUAAGGCCCUAUGGGUCGUAAACCUCUUUUGUCAGGGAGCAAAGGCGUCCACGUGUGGACGAGAGGAGAGUACCUGAAGAAAAAGCAUCGGCUAACUCCGUGCCAGCAGCCGCGGUAAUACGGAGGAUGCGAGCGUUAUCCGGAUUUAUUGGGUUUAAAGGGUGCGUAGGCGGGCUGUUAAGUCAGCGGUAAAAUGUCGGGGCUCAACCCCGGCCUGCCGUUGAAACUGGCGGCCUCGAGUGGGCGAGAAGUAUGCGGAAUGCGUGGUGUAGCGGUGAAAUGCAUAGAUAUCACGCAGAACUCCGAUUGCGAAGGCAGCUUACCAAACUAUAACUGACACUGAAGCACGAAAGCGUGGGGAUCAAACAGGAUUAGAUACCCCUGUA
rnacentral:rRNA from 1 species